rnacentral:rRNA from 1 species
AACGAACGCUGGCGGCAUGCCUAACACAUGCAAGUCGAACGAGACCUUCGGGUCUAGUGGCGCACGGGUGCGUAACGCGUGGGAACCUGCCCUUAGGUUCGGAAUAACUCCCCGAAAGGGGUGCUAAUACCGGAUAAUGUCUUCGGACCAAAGAUUUAUCGCCUUUGGAUGGGCCCGCGUUGGAUUAGCUAGUUGGUAGGGUAAAAGCCUACCAAGGCGACGAUCCAUAGCUGGUCUGAGAGGAUGAUCAGCCACACUGGGACUGAGACACGGCCCAGACUCCUACGGGAGGCAGCAGUGGGGAAUAUUGGACAAUGGGCGAAAGCAUGAUCCAGCAAUGCCGCGUGAGUGAUGAAGGCCUUAGGGUUGUAAAGCUCUUUUACCCGGGAUGAUAAUGACAGUACCGGGAGAAUAAGCUCCGGCAAACUCCGU